rnacentral:sRNA from 1 species
AUUUGUGACAAGACAUUAUUUAGCUUUUCAGGCAUUUAAUUGAACUAACUACAGCUUUAAUUAUAAUAAAGCAAAACUAACACAUUGUAUGAUACAUAUGUGUCUUUUAUAACAGGAAGACUGUAGUUCAUGGAGGCUCCCUCAUUCCUCAUCCCUUUGGAAUAAGCUUAUUUGAAGGUCAGGUGUUCUUUACUGAUUGGACAAAGAUGGCCGUGCUGAAGGCAAACAAGUUCACAGAGACCAACCCACAAGUGUACUACCAGGCUUCCCUGAGGCCCUAUGGAGUGACUGUUUACCAUUCCCUCAGACAGCCCUAUGCUACCAAUCCGUGUAAAGAUAACAAUGGGGGCUGUGAGCAGGUCUGUGUCCUCAGCCACAGAACAGAUAAUGAUGGUUUGGGUUUCCGUUGCAAGUGCACAUUCGGCUUCCAACUGGAUACGGAUGAGCGCCACUGCAUUGCUGUUCAGAAUUUCCUCAUUUUUUCAUCCCAAGUUGCUAUUCGUGGGAUCCCGUUCACCUUGUCUACCCAGGAAGAUGUCAUGGUUCCAGUUUCGGGGAAUCCUUCUU